AGUCCAUGGUGUGGGCACUUAACAUUGACUUGAAACAUUCCCACGUCUUGUAUAGGGAUUCACCUUCGUGUUGCUUAAAAUAGGCGAUUUCUCACCUGAGCU
rfam:Gossypium raimondii chromosome 1, whole genome shotgun sequence.